UUGUGUGUGUUAUCUAUAUUACUAAAACUCAGUUCUUGACCGCUUUUCCCGAUCUGUGCUGCGAUUUCCGAGAGAACGCCGCCACCUACGGCCGUCAUUUUUGGCCACCUCCCUCAGAGCCCCCCUCUGCCGCAUGUGUGCCGAGGAUGUUUCCCCUCGAUGAAAUAUGACCAAGAUAUUAAUGUUUUUACAUCAUUCCCCAUUCUCACUGCUGCCCCCACUGGCGGCAGGGGACGGGAGGGGCUAUAAAACCCGGGAGCGUCCCGCUUCAACUCACUUUCUUGCCGGCCACAAAGUGAAAGGGUCACGGCUCUCUGAGCUGCUGCUCUGCUCCCAGAUGGCGGCAAUGACGUCAUUUCCAAUGAAUGGUAAGAUGGCGACGAUCACUUCAUUUCCGGCGAUCGGUAAGAUGGCGGCGAUUACGUAAUUUCCGGUCGGAGGCAAGAUGGCGCUGAAGACGCGCACGAGGUGUUAGAUAAUGUUACAGAGCUGCUCAAAAAUGGACAUAUUCAGCGGGUUUUAACGGAUCCGCUACGUUCAGGUUCAGAUUCAGAUUCAGUUUCAACUUUAAUUGUCGUUGUCCGUGUACAGUAAACAGAGACAACGAAAUUCGGUUAGCAUCUCCCUGGAACAUGGAGUUGGAAACGAUGUAUCCUCUAGGAUAGCAGCUACAUUUCUGCCUGGUGGAAGAACGACACAUUCUCGAUUCCAAAUAUCCAUCCAAGUGGCCGAGGAUACAUUGUGCAACAUCGAGAAGAACUCUGAGACGGCACAUUUCACGAGGCAAGUGAAAGUCAUUGUUUGGGAUGAAUGUCCAAUGAUUAGGAGAGAAUGCUUUGAAGUUGUGGACAGAACUCUUCCAGAUGUCUUCAGCAACACCAAGCAUAUUGGUGCCCCCCUGCCAGUACAGGCCUCAGUGACUGAGCUGUCCGCCCAAAAAUCCAUUCCGCCAACAAACUCCAUACUAGCCCUCUGGAAACCAGUACCUUUGGCCCAACAUACUAGCUCAACAGAAAUAUGAAGGGAAAUGUCAAAGGUUUCCUGAAGGAUGGAACAUCGCCCAAGAAUGUUGUCAUUAAUAGCGUGCUUCGUUGAAUGAUGACUUCUGAGGUAAAUUCUCAGAUUUUCCUUCUUAAAAUCUGACCGCUGGCUUUCUCUAUAUUAAAAUUGUCUCUUUUUAUCAACAGGAAAUAGUCAUCAAGAGGCAGUGAACAGCAGAACACAACAAGACGCAACAAGACACAACAAGAAAUAGUCAUCAAGAGGCAGUGAGCAGCAGAACACAACAAGACGCAACAAGACACAACAAGUAAAAACUUAAUAAAUCUCAUCUUUAAAAUUUAAAUUGUUCUUAUAUUUUAAGAGUCAUUCACAUUUUAAACUUUAAUAAAACCUUUUUGCACUUUUAA